rnacentral:rRNA from 1 species
AGCAUGUGGUUUAAUUCGACGCAACGCGCAGACCUUACCUGGGCUUGACAUCCCGAUCGCAUCCCAUGGAAACAUGGGAGUCAGUUCGGCUGGAUCGGUGACAGGUGCUGCAUGGCUGUCGUCAGCUCGUGUCGUGAGAUGUUGGGUUAAGUCCCGCAACGAGCGCAACCCUUUGUCCUUAGUUGCCAGCAUUCAGUUGGGCACUCUAAGGAGACUGCCGGUGUUAAACCGGAGGAAGGUGGGGAUGACGUCAAGUCCUCAUGGCCCUUAUGUCCAGGGCUACACACGUGCUACAAUGGCCGGUACAAAGGGCUGCAAGACCGUGAGGUUGAGCGAAUCCCAGAAAGCCGGUCUCAGUUCGGAUUGGAGUCUGCAACUCGACUCCAUGAAGUUGGAAUCGCUAGUAAUCGCGGAUCAGCCAUGCCGCGGUGAAUACGUUCCCGGGCCUU